AGAGUUUGAUCCUGGCUCAGGAACGAACGCUGGCGGCGUGCCUAAUGCAUGCAAGUCGCACGCAGGGUGCUUGCACCCUGAGUGGCGCACGGCUGAGGAACACGUGGGAAUCUGCCCGACCGUGGGGGAUAACUCGGCGAAAGCCGCGCUAAUCCCGCAUACGCUCGCAAGAGGAAAGCAGUGAUGCGCGGUCGGAGGAGCCUGCGGCCCAUCAGGUAGUUGGCGGGGUAACGGCCCACCAAGCCGCUGACGGGUAGCUGGUCUGUGAGGACAGACAGCCAGACUGGGACUGARACACGGCCCAGACUCCUACGGGAGGCAGCAGCAAGGAAUUUUCGUCAAUGGGCGCAAGCCUGAACGAGCAACGCCGCGUGGAGGACGACGGCCUUCGGGUUGUAAACUCCUUUUGCGGGGGACGACAUCGACUGUACCCCGCGAAUAAGGCUCGGCUAACUCUGUGCCAGCAGCCGCGGUAAGACAGAGGAGCCAAGCGUUGUCCGGAUUGACUGGGCGUAAAGCGCACGCAGGCGCUCGUGCACGUGGGGUGUGAAAACUGGCGGCUUAACUGCCAGAGGCCACCUCAUACGGCGCGACUCGAGCCAUGCAGAGGUCCACGGAAUUGCCGGUGUAGUGGUGAAAUGCGUAGAGAUCGGCAGGAACACCCAGGGGGAAACCAGUGGACUGGGCAUGUGCUGACGCUCAGGUGCGAAAGCGUGGGGAGCGAACCGGAUUAGAUACCCGGGUAGUCCACGCACGUAACGAUGAAUACUCGGCAUCUGAAGGGCGAUUUUCGUCCCUCGGGUGCCCUAGCUAACGCGAUAAGUAUUCCGCCUGGGAACUACGAGCGCAAGCUUAAAACUCAAAGGAAUUGACGG
rnacentral:rRNA from 1 species